CACGUAGGGCGCGAGCGUUGUCCGGAAUUAUUGGGCGUAAAGAGCUCGUAGGCGGUCUGUUGCGUCAGGAGUGAAAACUCGGGGCUUAACCCCGAGCCUGCUUCUGAUACGGGCAGACUAGAGGUAUGCAGGGGAGAACGGAAUUCCUGGUGUAGCGGUGAAAUGCGCAGAUAUCAGGAGGAACACCGGUGGCGAAGGCGGUUCUCUGGGCAUUACCUGACGCUGAGGAGCGAAAGUGUGGGGAGCGAACAGG
rnacentral:rRNA from 1 species